rnacentral:rRNA from 1 species
CCUACGGGGGGCUGCAGUGGGGAAUAUUGGGCAAUGGGCGCAAGCCUGACCCAGCAACGCCGCGUGAAGGAAGAAGGCUUUCGGGUUGUAAACUUCUUUUCUCAGGGACGAAGCAAGUGACGGUACCUGAGGAAUAAGCCACGGCUAACUACGUGCCAGCAGCCGCGGUAAUACGGAGGUGGCAAGCGUUAUCCGGAUUUACUGGGUGUAAAGGGCGUGUAGGCGGGAAAGCAAGUCAGAUGUGAAAACCAUGGGCUCAACCUGUGGCCUGCAUUUGAAACUGUUUUUCUUGAGUACGGGAGAGGCAGACGGAAUUCCUAGUGUAGCGGUGAAAUGCGUAGAUAUUAGGAGGAACACCAGUGGCGAAGGCGGUCUGCUAGACAGCAACUGACGCUGAGGCGCGAAAGCGUGGGGAGCAAACAGGAUUAGAUACCCUUGUAGUC